UAUGAAUCAUUCAUUAUUUAUUAGUUUAUUCAAUAAAUACUGAAUACUUAGUAGGUACAAGAAAUGCACUGCUGUGGUUUCUCUUUCAUUUGAGAGAUUUGCUUGGUUUAAUAGAAGUCCCACCCUUCCUAUAUAACAAAUCUUAGCAUAGCAAAAAAUGAGGUCAUGACACUGAGUUCUCCCUCUAUUAAACCACAGGCUCCACGAGUAAAGACUGUGAAGGAGGAGCAGUGAGAUUAAUCUUUUCUUUUGGAAUCUGCAGAAGCCACUUCUGCUGCAUGAUUAGACAAGUGAGUUUUUUCUCUAACCUUUCUCCAAAUAGUUUCUACACUCCACAGUUUGUGGAUUUUCAAUAGGCAAGGGAUGGGGGUGCAAACUCAUAACUGUAAAGUCUGACAGGAAACAUGUAUGAAAGAAAAUAUGAAACAUCAUGAAAACCUGAGGAAAAAGAAAUCCUUUGAUCUAGUGAAGUCUUUAGUAACCAUAUUUCAAGAACUCUAAUACUGUGCAGACUUCUAAUGAACGGCCUUCUGGCAAUUCUUAAAUCUAGAGCUUUGGUUUUGUUGUUGUUGUUGUUGUUAAUCCACAUACCCCAGUCUCCACAAGAUUCCAUGCAGGCUUAAAACAAUAAUCCUUAAACAAUGCUAUGAAAGAUUAUGCAGUCAUGAGAAAAUGAGGUCUGGCAGCGUGUAGCUUACUCCAACAGGGCUUUCCCUUUAUUAUAAUUAAAUAGCCUCUGUCCUAUCUGUCUGUCCAUUCUCACACUGAAGGUUCCUUUUACUUGUGAAAUGACUGCUGCAAAAUAGAGGCCGAGUCCAGAGGCCUCAUCACUCAGUCUCCUCUGAGAUGACAAGAACUGUUUUUUCAUCUACCUCUGGUGUCUGUGCAGAUAACUUGGAAAAUGUGCUUCUGCAACAUGGCAGUCGAGCCCCACAUCAAAGAAGCAAAAUAUAGAAUAACAGAACAAAAAAGAAAAUUCUUUUUGGAGCCAAAAAAAUGAUCAAAACAAAGCUUUAAAGUUGGGGUACCCUCCUUCUCCUGCCUUUGGACAUCAGAACUCCAGGUUCUCCAGUCUUUGGACUCCAGGACUUGCACAAACACCCACAGGUUCUCAGGCCUUCUGCCUUGGAAUGGGAGCUACACCACUGGCUUCCCUGGCUCUCCAGCUUGCAGAGGGCAUAUUGUGUAACUCCUCAGCUUACAUAAUUGCAUGAACCCCUAAUAACUUUCCUAUCUAUCUAUCAUCAUGUGCUUUGACUUAAAGAACAAGACCAUGCUCAAGGUAUUUAAAAAUGUAACUCAUACAGGUAAGUAAUGUUCUCUGUCUGUCUACCUAUCUACCUGCCUACCUACCCACUAUCUAUCUAUCUAGUGCCCUAUUGGUUAUGUCUUUCUGGAGAACCCUAAUACAAAGAUCAUACUUAAUUUUCACUGUUCAUUUCAAAAAAUAUUUAUUGAGCACAUUUCUGUGUUAGAGACAGAGACAUCUGUACUUGAAUCCCUCAAGCAGAUCUCCACCUUUAAAGAAUGUAACCUGAAUUUUUUGAUCAUUCAAAUCAAAGUAUUCUCAUAAGUUACAUUUAAUAUAACUUAUUAAUUUUCCAGUAACUCUUACUCUCAGAAAUUUGUUGGUUGCUUCAUGAAAUUAUUACAGUGAAAUAUUUCUUCUAAAAAUUUUCCUCAGCUAUUUGACUUAGUGGGCUAGGGCUGAUAUACCAAAAUACCGUAGACUGGGUGGCUUAAACAAUAGAUAUUUAUUUCUCAUAGUUCUGGAGGCGACAUGCCCAAGAUCAGGGUGCCAGUACAGCCAGGUUCUUAUUGAGGGCUCUCUUCCUCACUUACUGAUGGCCACCUUUCUGCUGUAUCCUCACAUCCUGGAGAGUGAAAGUUCUGGUGUUUCUCUCUCUUCUUAUAAGGACACUGAUGCUAUCAUAGAGUCUUUAUCCUCAUGACCACAUCUAAACCUAAUUCCUUUUCAAGACCCCCACCUCCUAAAGCCAUCACACUGGGGAUUAGGGCUUCAGCAUACGGACUUUGGUGGACCACCAAUUACAGUCCCUAACACCACUGCUAUAAGAAUGAAUGUUUGUGUCUCCUCAAGUUCAUAUUUUGCGAUCUAAUCCUUAAUGGUAUAAUAUGAGAAGGUGGGGCCAUUGGGAGGUGAUUAAGUCAUGAAAGCUCUGCCCACAUGAAUGGCAUUAGUGCCCUUAUAAAAGAAACCCUAGAGAGCUAGCUGGCCUCGUCUGCCAUGUAAGCAUGCAGCAAAAAGGUGCCAUGAGCAAGACAGCAAGCCCUCACCAGACACCAAAUCUGCCGGCACCUUAAUUGUGGACUUACCAGCCUCCAGGACUGUGAGCAAUAAAGUUUCUGUU
rnacentral:lncRNA from 1 species